rnacentral:lncRNA from 1 species
CUCCUCCCAGUAUCUUUGUUUGUAUGGCUGGUUUUCAUUGAAUUAGCUACAGGUAUUUUUUCUGUGAAGAGGCUGGUUGACAGUAGAUUAGAUGCCGGUCUCGGUGGCUGUGUUUUAAGGCUGUAUCUGUUACCCAGGAAGGUAUGCAUACUUGGAUCAAUUUGUUGAUGUUAUUAAUAUUAGAUGUCAAGAGAUGUGGUAAUAAAAUAGGACAUAUAAAUUAAAUGUCACUUAUUGAUUUCUGUGACUUGAUCAAUAAUUUUAGUUGUGUAUCGAUACUCGGUAUGAUUUCAAGUUUCAACAUAUAUAUGUGGUUGCUACGUGUGUGUGUGUAUAUAUAUAUAUUACAAGAUUCUACAACUUCAAUUAUGUCCUCUGGAUUGCCACAUCUGAAGGAAAAUUAGAUAAUGAUCCUGGAUAGAGUUUCUUCACGGCUGGUACGAUUGGGUGUCCUCUCUAUUUUAUUUUACGUUAAAUUUACUUUUAUUUAUUUUUCACAUUUUAUUAUAAACUGACUAAAUUAUUUCGAGCCUAAGGCAGAGGAAUAUUUUUGAUGAUUAGACAUUGUACUUUUCUUUUAUGACAGAUCGCCAUUACCAUGAAACUUUCUUGUAAAUUGCAAAAUUGCGAAUUUAAAUUACAUAUCAG